CAAAGCCAAGACGGAGGCAGGAGAAAGGAGAGGCAGCGCAUGAAGGCGUUCACCAGAGCGUGCAUAUUUCAGUUUUUUUCUUUCGUCACCCACAGAUUUUUACACACAGUGUUGACUAUUUCUGUGAAGACACGACCGGCCCGUUCACAAGCCGCUAAGUAGGGGAGCAAAUUCACGUGUUCCUGUCUAAUUGGGAAAUUACCGUGCCAAGGACGACCCCCCAACUAACGCCGCUAAUUGGAUAAUAGGCUUUCAGCGGCUGGCUGCACGCAAGUGACAAGUGGUGCAUAUGUCUGAGGCAGGAUGAAAAAUGAAUUUAUAUACAUUCGUAGAGGUUAAGUUAGAGAUUGCAGACUUUUUGUGCAGUUUCAAACCUCAGAUUAGGCCGAGGUUAUGUCUGCGUUUUCACUGUUCAGUUUGGUUUCUUGAUACAAAACCAGUGACCAUAACCUGGAUUACAAUAAUACGUAGGCUCAGUGUAGGAUCAGAUUGAAAACUAUUUGACCAGAGUGACAUGAUUAACUCAGGUGUGUCAUUUAAUUGACAUCACAGGUGUUUCCAAACUCAUAAUCAGUCAGUCUGCCUAUUUAAAGGGAGACAAGUAGUCACCCUGCUGUUUGGUGAAAAGGUGUGUACCACACUGAACAUGGACAACAGAAAGCGAAGGAGAGAAUUGUCCCAGGACAUCCGAAGAAAAAUUAUAGCCAAACAUCUUAAAGGUAAAGGCUAUAAGACCAUCUCUAAACAGCUUGAAGUUCCUGUGACAACAGUGGCUCAUAUUAUUCAGAAGUUCAAGACCCACAGGACAGUAGCCAACCUCCCUGGACGUGGCCGCAAGAGGAAAAUUGAUGACAAAUUGAAGAGGCGGAUCGUUCGAAUUGUAUCCAAAGAGUCCAGAGCAACCUCCAAAGAAAUUAAAGGUGAACUCCAAGGCCAAGGUACAUCAGUGUCAGAUCGCACCAUUCGUCGUUGUUUGAGCCAAAGUGGACUUCAUGGGAGACGACCAAGGAGGACACCACUGCUGAAAAAAAACUCAUAAAAAAGCGAGACUGGAAUUUGCAAAAAUGCAUGUUGACAAGCCGCAAAGCUUCUGGGAGAAUGUCCUUUGGACAGAUGAGACCAAACUGGAGCUUUUUGUGACAAGAUGUGACGAUAUUCCUGAACCUGACUUUGGACAGCACAGCUUCUUCAUCAUUCCAAGCAGUCCAUGUGGAUUUCAACCAAAGAGGCACUAGUCAUCAGUGAUUGAGGAUACCAGCCAAAUGCUGCAGUCAAGUACUCUCACUGUUCACUCUGUCUUUCUCCUUCUCUUCUCUUUCUCCACUUUCACUGUUAUUGUUCACAUCUACAUGUACAAAAGACUUGUUUACAAGCUAGAUGGUUCUAUUUCACUGUUCUUGAUGCUAUUUUAAUGCAGUGUCUGAAGUUAUGCUUACUAAUAAAGCAUGUCAUUAAGGAUUUUAUUAUGUACAGUUUCUUCCAAAUAGCUAAUGGAAUACCUUUUCUUUCUGUAAUACAAAUGUUCUAAAUGUUAUUAGUAUUACAAAGUCUGCUGAGGGUUUGUAUUAAAGUACAGCUAUGUUAUGGAAUAUAUAUAUUCUCGUGUUUUAUACCUGGGGUUCUCAAACUUGCUACUUAAAGGUCUGAUCUGAUUUUUUUUUUUUUUUUUUUUUUGAAGUUCAGAGUUCAGGAAUGAUUGGAAAUAACAUUUAAUCAACAUUAAAUCAGUCCAUUUGUGAUUAUUCUGGGAAACGGCGUUAGUGUGAGCGCUCUGUACUGUCAGUUCUUGAUUCUUGAAAACAGCAUCAGAGUGAGUGGUCGUUGCAUUAUUCACUCUGUUACACUCCUCCGUCUCCUCCGCUAGCUUAACAUGCUACUUUUCUUCGGUGCGCACAGACAGGCGAAUACUGGUAGAUGCAUGUUGCUGCAUGCGUUUGUGAUAGGCUUAAGGUAGACGCACAAGAAGGUACACAAUUUAAGUAAAAUACAAGAAAAGUCAUGUCUUGCAUGUUAAUAGUUGAACUUGUGGAUGUUACCUGCUGUCAUGAUAAACAUGAAGUACGGAGGGACAUGGGUCCAGAUCGGUCCUGAUCGACUUGUUGACUUGCCGUUCAGUCCAGAAUUUCAAAAGCCCUGUAUGAUAUAAGCUACUUUUUUUUUUUUUAAAUUUGUGGGGCUUUAUAGAAAUUAAAUGCAAAAUAGCAAAUUAAAUAUCCUUUGUGAAUAAACUGGUGUAUACUGUAAAAUUACCAUAACAGUUAUCCUAAUGUCAUGUACUGUAAUCCAAAAUACGGUAGUAUACUGUUAAAAUAAAUGUACAUGCGCUGUAAAAUUACCACACCACCCACUGUUAUCCUACGGUAAUAUACUGUAAUUCAAAAUACAGUACUAUACUGGUAAAAUAAAUUGCAGUAGCAUUGUAAAAUAACAGUAAAAUACUGGCGUCCCUGCUGCCAGUAUUUUACUGUUAUUUUACAGUGAAAUUUGUUAGUGUAUGUUCAUAGACUCAAAAACCAAGCAUACGAAGAAAAGAACACUGUCCCUACGGUGAAACAUGGAGGAGGCUCAGUAAUGUUUUGGGGCUGCUUUGCUGCAUCUGGCACAGGGUGUCUUGAAAGUGUGCAAGGUACGAUGAAAUCUGAAGACUAUCAAGGCAUUCUGGAGAGAAAUGUGCUGCCUAGUGUCAGAAAGCUUGGUCUCAGUCGCAGGUCAUGGGUCUUCCAACAGGACAACGAUCCAAAACACACAGCCAAAAACACCCAAGAAUGGCUGAGAGAAAAGCGUUGGACUAUUCUAAAGUGGCCUUCUAUGAGCCCAGAUCUGAAUCCCAUUGAACAUAUGUGGAAGGAGCUGAAACAUGCCAUUUGGAGAAGACACCCAUCAAACCUGAGACAACUGGAGCUGUUUGCUCAUGAGGAGUGGGCCAAAAUACCUGUUGACAGCUGCAGAACGCUCAUUGACAAAUACAGAAAUCGUUUAAUUGCAGUGAUUGCCUCAAAAGGUUGUGCAACAAAAUAUUAAGUUAUGGAUACCAUGAUUUUUGUCCAGCCCUAUUUCAUUAGUUUGUUUUUUUUAAAUAAUUAUGUUAAUCAACAAUUCAAAAGUGAUGGCUGAUUUUGAUUAUUUAAUUUUCAAUAAAUUUUUAUUUAUUGUUUUGAGUUUCAAGUGAUUUCAGUGAGAAUUGUGGGUUUUUCCUUCUUUAACUGAGGGGUACCAACAAUUUUGUCCACAUGUGUAUGUCUUCUGACAUGGUUGUUUAAGAAAUGAGAAGCUCCUCACUGCAUCAGGUAGGGUUAAAUAAGUUGUUGCAGCUGAAACAUCUUCAUAACUUCAGUAAUUAUCCAAUGGAAGGCUCUUGCUGAUUUGUUUAGUUAAAUCCAGGCGGUGACUUCUUUUUUUUUUUUUUUGGACAGGCAGUGUAGGUAAGUCUUACCUCUUGCCAUCCAUCUUUGUAACGCACCUGGGCAGUUAUUUCAGGCUGACGAGAACAGGUUGCCACUAAAUGAAUGGGAAGAGAGCUAUAACUACAAUUUCAGUGGUCACCAAGACAUGAAAACUUCAUGUAUAAAAGCAUCAGUUAAAUCUGACAUUUGAAGAACUGUUUAAAAAGUCUGGUGAUUUUGUCCUAAAAUAAGAUUUUAAAAUUGUUUUUCUCGCAGGUCAUACUUCUACUACGUAUGGAAACUGUUUCUUGACACCACGCUUGAGAUGGAUGGUUGGAUGCUUCCUGGUUUGGCUGUUACAAAGCAACAACAGACCACCGCCGUAUUGAGGGGAGGAUGACGUGUCAAACAACCAUCAACUUUGGCCCUACCGAAUUCUCCCACAGAUGUCCAUUCAGAUGUCCAUUUAGAAACAGCCAGUCUCUCCCUGAUAACAUGUCUGAUUGAAAUGACUGAUGCAGUGAGGAGAGAUGGGUGAUCAGGGGUCCAGAGUGAUGCUGGGGGCACCAGGAAGCAUUUCGCAACAUCACAUCUCAUGCCUUGUUGUGCCUUGUUAACUUAAAUUACAACCAAUUUAUAAAAACCAACGAAAUCAGGAUGAAAGGUUGUUGUGAAACUCUGAAAGACUCAAAGACAGCACUGUCACUGUAGCACGGUAGAAACCUGUAAAUAAUACUACAGGCCACUUCCUCUUAUCAGUGAUUGUGUCCCAGUUUGUGGUUGAUGGCCUCUUUCAGUUCUCUUUCAACCCUCUCGAUAUUUCUCCACAGCGUCAACAAAAAAAUGUGUAUCGUAAGGUGGGUCUUUGUUUCGCCUAUGCUUAUUUCUGAAACUGGGUCACACAAAACAGAAUACUAAUAUGAUAUAAUAAAAUUAAACUGCAACACAUCAAAAUAAGCCCAGGAGAUUUUCAUUGAGGCAGGAUGUAUUUCAAGGUUGCUAGAUUGCUUUUCACUGAUUUGUAAUAGGCUGGGAACUAGGUGUAUGUGAUCUUUUACAGCUCCAUUCUGGAAUUCUUUUUUCUGAUCUUUUUUUUUCAUUCACACCUUAACACAGGUUGUUCAUUUGCUAUGAUUGCCAUUUUCCCACGUAUUACACCAACCAUCCAAGGAAAACUUCCUAUUUGAAUCGGCUCUCUUAAGAGUUCUUCAUCUUCAUUGUUUUUUUUUUCCUUUUCCUGCUCCUUUUUAUUUUACCUCUAUAUCUUUUGAGCUUCUCAGAUUUGUUUUUGUGUUCAGACAUUUAAAUCCCAUUCAGAUAUGGUAGGAAAUCCUGAUUUACAUAGAAAUAAUAUAUACCACUUGCAAUUAAUAACUGGUUCUGAAACCUCUCAGUUUUUGAGCCUUUGUGACUGAGGUUUUGGCUGAACCUGUCUUAUGAUUUGGAGGUCUAAAGAUCCUCAAAUGACUUGUAUCUGACAUUAACGCUGAUAAUAUGUAACUUUGCAGUAGAAUUCCAGGAUUUAUAUGCAGAAGACAAUAAAGUCGGCAUCUCCAUCUCAGCUGUUCUUUGUUUUAGGUGGCAGAAUGCUAAAUCAAGAUGCAAAACAUGAGCAUGUUGUUGUUGUCAUUGCGAGUAUGUUACCAUAUUGAUGUUCGUGUUUUCUUCAGAUCACGUCAGUGUCUAAGUACAGUGUCACCGCUGCUAGCAGAGGCUAUAAUGAAAGGGACCCACCUACGAUGACUCAGUAGAAGCAGUGAAGCCUUCAUCCAGCUCAGUCUGACAUACUUGUUCAGAAUGUACAAUAGAAAGAGUUCCACUGUCAAAACCUCCACUUGCAUUGUUGCCAUGAUUGUUGUUAUAGGCUGGAUGGACGCUAAUGGCAGGCUGACAAAGGGGAAAGUGACAUGAGGCCCGUUGCACAAAAUUUCUACAACAAUUUAAUAAUAUACACUACUGUUCAAAAGUUCAGGGUCACCCAGACAAUGUCACGUUUUCCAUUAAAACUCACACUGUUAUUCAUGUGCUAAUAUAAUUGCACAAGGGUUUUCUAAUCAUCGAUUAGCCUUUCAACACGAUUAGCUAACACGUGCCAUUAGGACACAGGAUUGAUGGUUGCUGGAAAUGUUCCUCUACUCCUAUGUAUGUAGAUAUUCUGUUAAAAAUCAACCAUUUCCAGCUAGAAUAGUCAUUUACCAUAUUAACGAUGUUUAGUCUGUAUUUCUGAUUAAUUUAACGUUCUCUUCAUUGGAAAAAAGCACUUUUCUGUUAAAAAUAAGAGCAUUUUUAAGUGACCCCAACGUUUCAACAGUAGUGUAUUUUUUUAAUUACAUUCUGUCAGUUCCUGAAAACAAUAAAUGCAGCUUUUCAGUGCUGUUAGUACAGUGGGACAUGGCAGAUGAAAGGGGCUUGGACAACUGAGCCGUUUCCCUCCUUCUGUUUCUUCUUCGAGAAACACUGCAAAGGUGGGAGAUGGUUGUAACCUUGUGAGAAAUUGUUUGCUUUCAGUCAGCACAGCAAACAGUGCUGUAUAGGUGUGUGGCUUUUGUAGUUAAGUAGUAGACGUUAUUUUCCUUGCAAAAAAAAUGUCAGAAUCUUUUAGACAUUGACCUUGUUAUUAAAUAAUUCAUGUUACUGAGAACAGGCUGCACAGUGGUUCUGUGGUUUGCACUGUUGCCUUGCAGCCCAGCAUCUCGGCCAAGGCCUGGGAUCUUUCUGCAAAGAGUUUGCUUGUCCUCCCUGUGCAUGUGUGUGUUUUCUCGUCGGUGUGAACAUGUCUGUGCUUGUUUGUCUCUAUAUGUAGCCCUGUGAUAGUUGGUGACCUGUCCAGGGUGUCCCCUGCCUUCACCUUAAGUCAGCUGGGAUAGACUCCAGCCCCCCUGUGACCCAAUGAGGAUUAAGCGGUGUAUAAAUAAUGAGUGGAUGGACGUUACUGUGAACUACACAGUCUGUUUGUAUGUUGAAAAAUAAUGGAAACGAGUGCUGCAACCAUCCACAGGGUCUUACAUAAUGAAAUAAUUAAAGCAUGAACUCAUUAA